rnacentral:tRNA from 1 species
UCUCUGGUGUCUAAGAUGGUAAAGAAUCUGCCUGUAACACAGAAGACUUGGGUUCAAUCCCUGGGUUGGGAA